UACGGAGGGGGCUAGCGUUGUUCGGAAUUACUGGGCGUAAAGCGCACGUAGGCGGCUUUGUAAGUUAGAGGUGAAAGCCCGGAGCUCAACUCCGGAAUUGCCUUUAAGACUGCAUCGCUAGAAUUGUGGAGAGGUAAGUGGAAUUCCGAGUGUAGAGGUGAAAUUCGUAGAUAUUCGGAAGAACACCAGUGGCGAAGGCGCCUUACUGGACACAUAUUGACGCUGAGGUGCGAAAGCGUGGGGAGCAAACAGG
rnacentral:rRNA from 1 species